rnacentral:lncRNA from 1 species
GUUAUAUUUAAAUAUAUUUAAUUAUGUUACUAAUUUUUUUACUUAGUUAAUAUAUCUAAAAUAUGAUAAAAUUGAUUAGUUAAGUUUUAAUAUUUUUUUAUUUCGUUUGUACAUUUAAAAUAUGAUAAAAAUUGAUUAUAAUUAUUAAUAUCUUUUUACUUUAUAAUUUUAUUAUUGUAUUACUAUAAUUUAUGUAUAAAAAAAUAAUUUAGUUGUUUUAAAUUAAAUUUUAAUUAUAUAAAAAUAUAAUUAUAUUAUUUUUAUUUAUUAAAAUAUUUAUUAUUUAUAUAUAAAUUAUAGUUUUACNUAUUAAUAUUUUUUUACUUUAUAAUUUUAUUAUUGUAUUACUAUAAUUUAUGUAUAAAAAAAUAAUUUAGUUGUUUUAAAUUAAAUUUUAAUUAUAUAAAAAUAUAAUUAUAUUAUUUUUAUUUAUUAAAAUAUUUAUUAUUUAUAUAUAAAUUAUAGUUUUAUAUUAUACACUUCCUACCGAACAAACAGCUGAACUGAUGGAACUUCACUUUCAUAACUACGAAACAAAUAGCAGGGAAGUAGUUUUCACCGAACUCCAGUUCAACCUAAAGUCCACUUCAACCCA